rnacentral:rRNA from 1 species
GAUGAACGCUGGCGGCGUGCCUAAUACAUGCAAGUCGAGCGAACAGACGAGGAGCUUGCUCCUUCGACGUUAGCGGCGGACGGGUGAGUAACACGUAGGUAACCUACCUAUAAGACUGGGAUAACUUCGGGAAACCGGAGCUAAUACCGGAUAAUAUUUCGAACCGCAUGGCUCGAUAGUGAAAGAUGGCUUUGCUAUCACUUAUAGAUGGACCUGCGCCGUAUUAGCUAGUUGGUAAGGUAACGGCUUACCAAGGCAACGAUACGUAGCCGACCUGAGAGGGUGAUCGGCCACACUGGAACUGAGACACGGUCCAGACUCCUACGGGAGGCAGCAGUAGGGAAUCUUCCGCAAUGGGCGAAAGCCUGACGGAGCAACGCCGCGUGAGUGAUGAAGGUCUUCGGAUCGUAAAACUCUGUUAUUAGGGAAGAACAAACGUGUAAGUAACUGUGCACGUCUUGACGGUACCUAAUCAGAAAGCCACGGCUAACUACAUG